rnacentral:SRP_RNA from 2 species
GCCCGGGUCCCGCGCGACGGCGUCCCCGAACCUGGUCAGGCCCGGAAGGGAGCAGCCAUUAGGGGGUUGCGUCGGGUGCCGCGGUGUCCCCGGGCUCC